GCACGGGGGCAACCCUGGUGGCGAGUGGCGAACGGGUGAGUAAUGCAUCGGAACGUGCCCAGUAGUGGGGGAUAACUAGUCGAAAGAUUAGCUAAUACCGCAUACGACCUAUGGGCGAAAGCGGGGGAUUCGCAAGAACCUCGCGCUAUCGGAGCGGCCGAUGUCUGAUUAGCUAGUUGGCGGGGUAAAAGCCCACCAAGGCGACGAUCAGUAGCUGGUCUGAGAGGACGACCAGCCACACUGGGACUGAGACACGGCCCAGACUCCUACGGGAGGCAGCAGUGGGGAAUUUUGGACAAUGGGCGCAAGCCUGAUCCAGCCAUGCCGCGUGCGGGAAGAAGGCCUUCGGG
rnacentral:rRNA from 1 species